rnacentral:rRNA from 1 species
CCUACGGGGGGCAGCAGUCGGGAAUAUUGCGCAAUGGAGGAAACUCUGACGCAGUGACGCCGCGUGCAGGAAGAAGGUUUUCGGAUUGUAAACCGCUUUAGACAGGGAAGAAAAAACACAGUACCUGUAGUAUAAGCUCCGGCUAACUACGGGCCAGCAGCCGCGGUAAUAGGCAGGGGGCAAGCGUUAUCCGGAUUUAUUGGGGGUAAAGGGUGCGUAGGUGGGGAAGCAAGUUAGUUGGGAAAUCCCUCGGCUUAACUGAGGAACUGCAGCUAAAACUACUUCCCUUGAGUACUGGAGAGGAAAGUGGAAUUCCUAGUGUAGCGGUGAAAUGCGUAGAUAUUAGGAGGAACACCAGUGGCGAAGGCGACUUUCUGG